UCCUCACCUCCUAGAGGUCAACAAAUGGUUGUGGGAGGGCAUGGGGAAAGGCUGGGCACAUUCACCCUGUGUUGCUGAGCAUGUAUUUUGUGCUUUUAGCAGCAUCAGCAGUCACAUCUGCAGCUACACUGAAAAGGCAACGAAAAAGAGCAGAACAGGAGGGAUUACAUACGUGUUUCAGUUAGAUUAUCUCAUUGUAGCUUAGGACUUUGCAAUAAUGAGGACAAGUUUUGUACAAUACAUAGCAGCCUCUGAACUUCAGGGGUACAAAGGCAGCACCUGCCACAGCGCAUACCACGGUACCAAGUGCUUCUGGGAGUGGGAAGGCAGUGCCUCUGCUAGUGCUGGACUGUGAAAUGACGAGCCCUGGAAACACACUUCUGGCUCAUUUACCUACCUAACCAGGCUCAUACAGCCAUAAUAACAAUUCUGCACUUCUUGGUGUUCUGUCAUGGGAAAUACCACAGAGAGACUGGGAAAAGACAGUGAUGUUUGUGAUGAUGGCAGCCUUCAGAAGUACAGAAAACACCCAAAAUGUUUUCUCAGAUGCACCCAGCCUUAUGCUAUCACGAAGAGGAGGAGGGGAUGACUGCUGCACUCCAGGACUUGCAGGAAGGGAUUUCUGGGCAAUUCAUGCCAUGAAUGAAUAUACCUUUGCUGCAUUGGCUGUAAAGUGGAUUGCAAAACCUGCCUGGAGUCAUGCAAAUGUGAUACAAAGUUAGGGAACUGAACUUGUGUUUUGAUCUCCAUUUGUAAGAAAAAAUCUGAAAUGUGAGAAGAACUUUAAUACGAUAUAAAUGGUUUUAAUUUUUUAGUGAAAGAAGAAAAUUCAUAUGGGAAGACCCAAUUCAAAUUAAUUUCAAUCUGAUCAUAAAAGAGUGAUGGAGGACUUCUAGUCUGAAAGGGAGCUCAUUACCUGCCUAUUAAUAGCGAGCUAUUCGCAGAGAUGGUCCAAGUGAAAUGUGUGGCAAUUUCCACCAUUUUGUUUUCAUGUUCAGUUUGACAGGAGUCGGUGGAAGUUACACUCACAGGUCUGAUAGGAUUUCUGUGGCUAGCAAAAGCAGGAACAAUUCAAUAUUAUGAAGUAUUUAUAAGUCCCUAAGGCACAUUUACAGAUGUCCUUGGCAACAUCAAUUUCUAGCCUGUUAAUAGCUUUAAAAGCUAAAAGCAGAACUGUAGACCU